CAGCAGCCACGGUAAUACGUAGGGUGCGAGCGUUAAUCGGAAUUACUGGGCGUAAAGCGUGCGCAGGCGGUUAUAUAAGACAGAUGUGAAAUCCCCGGGCUCAACCUGGGACCUGCAUUUGUGACUGUAUAGCUAGAGUACGGUAGAGGGGGAUGGAAUUCCGCGUGUAGCAGUGAAAUGCGUAGAUAUGCGGAGGAACACCGAUGGCGAAGGCAAUCCCCUGGACCUGUACUGACGCUCAUGCACGAAAGCGUGGGGAGCGAACAGGAUUAGAUACCCGGGUAGUCCCUGUCUCUUAUAC
rnacentral:rRNA from 1 species